GACGAACGCUGGCGGCGUGCUUAACACAUGCAAGUCGAACGGAAAGGCCCUGCUUUUGUGGGGUGCUCGAGUGGCGAACGGGUGAGUAACACGUGAGUAACCUGCCCUUGACUUUGGGAUAACUUCAGGAAACUGGGGCUAAUACCGGAUAGGAGCUCCUGCUGCAUGGUGGGGGUUGGAAAGUUUCGGCGGUUGGGGAUGGACUCGCGGCUUAUCAGCUUGUUGGUGGGGUAGUGGCGUACCAAGGCUUUGACGGGUAGCCGGCCUGAGAAGGGGAACGGGCAACAUGGGGAUGGGGUUGCGGCCCAACCGCUGCGGGGGGGAACAAGGGGGGAAUCUGGCAAAAGGGGGGGAAGCCGGCUGGAGAACCCCCGCUUCCGGGAUGAGGGCCUCCGGGUUGUAACCCCCUUUCGCCUGUGACGAGGCGUAAGUAACGGUAUUGGUAAAAGAAGAACGGGCAACCUACGU
rnacentral:rRNA from 1 species